rnacentral:rRNA from 1 species
GUGCCAGCAGCCGCGGUAAUUCCAGCUCCAAUAGCGUAUAUUAAAGUUGUUGUGGUUAAAAAGCUCGUAGUUGAACCUUGGGCCUGGCUGGCCGGUCCGCCUCACCGCGUGCACUGGUCCGGCCGGGCCUUUCCCUCUGUGGAACCCCAUACCCUUCACUGGGCGUGGCGGGGAAACAGGACAUUUACUUUGAAAAAAUUAGAGUGCUCCAGGCAGGCCUAUGCUCGAAUACAUUAGCAUGGAAUAAUAAAAUAGGACGCGCGGUUCUAUUUUGUUGGUUUAUAGGACCGCCGUAAUGAUUAAUAGGGACAGUCGGGGGCAUCAGUAUUCAACUGUCAGAGGUGAAAUUCUUGGAUCAGUUGAAGACUAACUACUGCGAAAGCAUUUGCCAAGGAUGUUUUCAUUAAUCAGGAACGAAAGUUAGGGGAUCGAAGACGAUCAGAUACCGUCGUAGUCUUAACCAUAAACUAUGCCGACUAGGGAUCGGACGGUGUUAUUCAUGACCCGUUCGGCACCUUACGAGAAAUCAAAGUGCUUGGGCUCCAGGGGGAGUAUGGUCGCAAGGCUGAAACUUAAAGAAAUUGACGGAAGGGCACCACCAGGGGUGGAGCCUGCGGCUUAAUUUGACUCAACACGGGGAAACUCACCAGGUCCAGACACAAUAAGGAUUGACAGAUUGAGAGCUCUUUCUUGAUUUUGUGGGUGGUGGUGCAUGGCCGUUCUUAGUUGGUGGGGUGACUUGUCUGCUUAAUUGCGAUAACGAACGAGACCUUAACCUGCUAAAUAGCCCGCAUUGCUCCGGCAGUGCGCUGGCCUCUUAGAGGGACUUUC